GUUCCUGUAGCGCAAUGGAUAGCGCGUUGAACUUUUAGUGCAAAGAUCGUGGGUUUGAAUCCCAACUGGAAUG